GCUCCGGUGGCCUAGUGGUUAAAGCGUCCGCCUCGGAUGCUGGAAAUCGCGGGAUCGAAACCCGGUCGAAUCA